CCUGGCGGCAGGCUUACACAUGCAAGUCGCAGCGGUACAGGAGAAGCUUGCUUCUCGCUGACGAGCGGCGGACGGGUGAGUAAUACUUAGGAAUCUACCUAGUAGUGGGGGAUAGCACGGGGAAACUCGUAUUAAUACCGCAUACGACCUACGGGAGAAAGGGGGCAGUUUACUGCUCUCGCUAUUAGAUGAGCCUAAGUCGGAUUAGCUAGAUGGUGGGGUAAAGGCCUACCAUGGCGACGAUCUGUAGCUGGUCUGAGAGGAUGAUCAGCCACACCGGGACUGAGACACGGCCCGGACUCCUACGGGAGGCAGCAGUGGGGAAUAUUGGACAAUGGGGGAAACCCUGAUCCAGCCAUGCCGCGUGUGUGAAGAAGGCCUUUUGGUUGUAAAGCACUUUAAGCAGUGAAGAAGACUCCAUGGUUAAUACCCAUGGACGAUGACAUUAGCUGCAGAAUAAGCACCGGCUAACUCUGUGCCAGCAGCCGCGGUAAU
rnacentral:rRNA from 1 species